rnacentral:rRNA from 1 species
AGGACGAACGCUGGCGGCGUGCUUAACACAUGCAAGUCGAGCGAGAGCCAGCUGAGGGGUAACCCUCGGCUGGGGACAGCGGCGAACGGGUGCGUAACACGUGGGCAACCUGCCCCUGACACUGGGAUAACCCCGGGAAACCGGAGCUAAUACCGGAUACUCUCGGCCGAUCACAUGGCUGGCCGAGGAAAGGUCCGCCGGUCAGGGAUGGGCCCGCGGCCUAUCAGCUUGUUGGUGGGGUAACGGCCUACCAAGGCGACGACGGGUAGCUGGUCUGAGAGGACGACCAGCCACACUGGAACUGAGAUACGGUCCAGACUCCUACGGGAGGCAGCAGUGGGGAAUAUUGCACAAUGGGCGAAAGCCUGAUGCAGCGACGCCGCGUGAGGGAUGAAGGCCUUCGGGUCGUAAACCUCUUUCGGCAGGGACGAAGCGAUCAGUGACGGUACCUGCAGAAGAACGCCCGGACUAACGUACGUCGCCAGCAGCCGC